rnacentral:rRNA from 1 species
UACGUAGGGUGCAAGCGUUGUCCGGAAUUAUUGGGCGUAAAGAGCGUGUAGGCGGCCAGAUAGGUCUGUUGUGAAAACUCGAGGCUCAACCUCGAGACGCCGAUGGAAACCAUCUGGCUAGAGUCCGGAAGAGGAGAGUGGAAUUCCUGGUGUAGCGGUGAAAUGCGCAGAUAUCAGGAAGAACACCCGUGGCUAAGGCGGCUCUCUAGUACGGUACUGACGCUGAGACGCGAAAGCGUGGGGAGCGAACAGG